AAAAAAACAGAAAAAAAAAGAUGAGUUUCGAUAAAAUUUCGACUAAUGGCUAAUCCUCGCGAAACGAUUGUCGCAUCGAGGGAAAAUGCGAUAGAGAUCGAUCGAGAUUUCGAGAUAUCGUGAAACUCGAUAAUAUCGAUUUGAGGAACGCAUUUGUUCGUCGCAUCAUCGUGUCAUUUUGUCGUUUUGUCGUUUUGUCAAUCGUGAUGAAACCGUAGAUAUUCCGUGGAUUUCAUACAAAUUUUUCGUGGCUGAUAAAUUUUUCAUUCAAAUUCUUCUAUAUUAAACGUGUUAAGUUGAUUGUCUUAUAAAGCAUGAUCUGUGACUUUGUAAUAUGUUCGUACGAAUGAGUGACUGUGCAAUAUUGGAAGUAGCGAUAUAUUGAAUAUUCAAAUUUUAAAUAGUGAACUACUGUACGUCUUGUCACACCUUGUGAGGUUAAAAAUUAUUAAUUAUACCCUCCGUUAUGCUUGAACUGCAGAAGCCGGGACAGUCGGCCACGACGGGCGAGGCUCCGGGGAUUGCCGCCCGCUACGACUCUGCCAACACAACAACAACAAGGCCGCUUCACGAGUCUAAUUCCUAGGCAUCUAUCUGGUAACCGGUACGGAAUUGCACGGCAACGUCGAGAAAGAAGACCAGGUCCGUGAAACCGUCGCAGGCGAGCCACGUGGCGGGCGCGACCGCCUGCAACUCGGGCAAACUUUGGCGCACGAUCAACGUCCACAGAUUGUACAACACGCAAGCGGAGAGUAGCAUCAGCCAGUAAUAAUAAAAGUUCUCGUCCGGGUUGACCACGGUUUUCGGCGGCCUCUGCAACCUUCGCGGCCUCCUUCGUCGCCUGCCGCUCGAAUCCUUGUCGUCGGCCGCGUCCCCUUCGCCCUCGCCCGUGUCCAACGUCUCCUGGCUCUCGGGUAUCUGCCUGGUCGAGAACCUCUUCAGGAACGAGUCCUCCCGCUUCAACGGAGGUUUCUUCUGGAUCGUCGAGAUGGCGGAUGACAAUUGGACGGUGGUGCGCAGCUUCAUCCAACGUUGAUUGCUCUUCGUUCUGGGAACAAAGAGAGGAGGAGUAGAUCGCCAGAUGGGGGAUGAAACGAUGAGGGGAGGAUUGGAUGGAUUGGUGGAAGUGUUGUUCACCGUGUGCUUACCACCGUGGCGCUCUUUCUCGUGGAGGGGGAGGAGAAUAAACUUUUCGACUUGGUGAAGAUCAAAGGACGAUGCUCAAGGUUCGAUUUUUGUCCAUGUGGAUUAUUUUCGUUUUUGUAAUCUGUUUUUGAUUGUUCGAAUGAAAUUUAAUUUCUGCAGAUUCUUACGCUUAAGUUUAGUAAGUUUGUACGAGAAGUAUUUAAAAGUUGAUUACAAAAAAGAUCUUUGUACUUAGAACUUAAUAAUCUUCAAUGAUUUACGAAUAUUAAAUUCAUUUAUCGUAGUGUUCAUUUGUAAAAUAUAAUUGUAUAUUGAAUUCAUCACAGUUCUUUUUCAUUUAAACCAGCAUCUCCAACCAGCGAAUUUUCUCAUUGUUAGCUGAGCAUUAGGAACGUGUGAAAUAGGUUAGGAUGUGAAUUGGUAAGCCUGCGCCAUUUUGGCGCUCGAGCGCCAUGGAGGUAGUCACGUGAUUCCUAGGGACUUGUAAGAUAGGGACUCCAUCUUCUUGGUGACAAAUAGUAAUCGUGACUUGAAAUUGGGAUUAUGUGUAGGAUUGGAAUGUAGGAUUAGAAAUAUUACAAGGAUAUAGAAAAAUUGCAUUCUUCUUGAAAAAGUUUUAAAUUUUGAAAAAAAGAGUGAAUUUAGGUUAGAAUUAUGCUAGUAUUAGAAAUUGACAAUAGAAAUAUUGUAGGUAAGUGGACUAAUUGUGUUUUUCGGAAAAUUGAGAGGAAAGUAAAGCGAGAAAUUUUCUCUUUUCGAGAAAUUCAGUUCAGUACAGAGAAAUUUUCGAAAAGUAAGAAGAAUGGAAAUUGUAAAAAAAAAAAAAA